rnacentral:rRNA from 1 species
UAUUUGAUGAUCUUCUUACAUGGAUAACCGUGGGAAACUGGGGCUAAUACAUGCUAAAAAGCCUAACGGCUGUAUUUAUUAGUUUCAAACUAUUAAUGUCUAUUUUGAUGUUUAGUGAGGAAUCAUAAUAACUAAUCGGAGCGAUGAAAGUCGCUACAUCAUUCAAGUUUCUGCCCUAUCAGCUUGAUGGUAGUGUAUUGGACUACCAUGGCAAUCACGGGUAACGGGGAAUUAGGGUUCGAUUCCGGAGAAGGAGCCUGAGAAACGGCUACUAUUUCUAAGGAAGGCAGCAGGCGCGUAAAUUACCCAAUCCUGACUCAGGGAGGUAGUUAAUGGAUAUAACCAGUUCGCCCAAUAUGGGUCUGAACUAGUAAUGAAUUGAAUUUAGAAACUUCUUUGAAUACUAUUGGAGGGCAAGUCUGGUGCCAGCAGCCGCGGUAAUUCCAGCUCCAAUAGCGUAUAUUAAUGUUGUUGCAGUUAAAAAGCUCGUAGUUGAAAUUCGGUGUAUGCCUGUUCACUCGACUUGGGAUACUUCGGUUUCUUAAGCUCGACGGACGUUUACUGUGAAAAAAUUAGAGUGCUCAAAGCAAGUUUUGGCUUGAAUAAUCUAGCAUGGAAUAAUAAAAUAAGACUCCUUUCAUUUUAUUGGUUAUUGAGAGGUGGAAUGAUUAACAGAAACAGUUGGGGGCAUUUGUAUUUGAUAGUCAGAGGUGAAAUUCUUAGAUUUAUCAAAGACAAACUAAUGCGAAAGCAUUUGUCAAGAAUGUUUUCAUUAAUCAAGAACUAAAGUUAGGGGAUCCAAGACGAUUAGAUGCCGUCGUAGUCCUAACCAUAAACUAUACCGACUAAGGAUUGGAGGGAAAUACCCUUCAGCACUUAAUGAGAAAUCAAAGUCUUUGGGUUCUGGGGAGAGUAUGGUCGCAAGGCUGAAACUUAAAGGAAUUGACGGAAGGGCACACCAGGAGUGGAGUCUGCGGCUUAAUUUGAUUCAACACGGGAAAACUUACCAGGGCAACAUGUCUGAAGGAUUGACAGCUUGAUAGCGCUUUCUUGAUUAGAUAAAAGUGGUGCAUGGCCGUUCUUAGUUGGUGGANUGAUUUGUCAGGUUAAUUCCCUUAACGAACGARACCUUAACCU